ACACAGGUGGUCAGGUAGAGAAUACUCAGGCGCUUGAGAGAACUCGGGUGAAGGAACUAGGCAAAAUGGUGCCGUAACUUCGGGAGAAGGCACGCUGGCGGUAGGUAAAGUCCCUUGCGGACGGCGCUGAAGCCAGUCGAAGAUACCAGCUGGCUGCAACUGUUUAUUAAAAACACAGCACUGUGCAAACACGAAAGUGGACGUAUACGGUGUGACGCCUGCCCGGUGCUGGAAGGUUAAUUG
rnacentral:rRNA from 1 species